rnacentral:rRNA from 1 species
AGCAGCCGCGGUAAUUCCAGCUCCAAUAGCGUAUAUUAAAGUUGUUGCAGUUAAAAAGCUCGUAGUUGAAUUUUAGAUGAGGCCUUUCGGUCUGCCGUCAGGUUGUACUGAAAGUGCUGAGUCUCACCUUCUAGGGAACCAGAUGUGCCUAACGGUGCGCUGGGGAUCUAGGACUUUUACUUUGAGAAAAU